CAUUUUGUCAGUUUUGUCAUGAGCCUCAGAACUGUGACAUCACAGUGGUCAGUCACCUUGACUACUGCAGACUCCUCAGACUUCAGUAGUUGGUCUGCCAACUGCUGUAGCUAUCUUUAGUGUUUAGUGCCAAGGAGGAAAGGUAGAAUUGCAAGCCCAUUGAAUGGCUCUCAUUUCAGGCUCUGCUGAAAAGAGAGGAAGAUUAUCAACUGUGAUUCUCUUCCAGACAGGGGAAAGCGCCAUGCCCACUCCUGGGACAUGAAAACCCAUAUACCAUGAGAAUGGGUGGCUUUUGAAAUUCUACCUUCCUGGCAGUGGGGCCAAGUGACUACACUGAUUAUCUUGAUAUCAACAAGGCAGUCCAGGAGCUGCAGUCCCCACAUGUGCCAGGACUAUUCACCCUGAAGCCCAAGGACCCACCCAAACACCAGAGUAGAGAGGCCAUUACCAUGGACUCUGCUGGAGAGGCCAGGUCAAGGCCCCUGACUAUGUCUGUCUGGACACAUCAGCCCCAAACACUGGGCACCUGUUUGGAUAGACCCUCAUGGAUAUUUGUGAAGAUGAUGAGGAGCUACCUGCUCCAAUUCUGGUAUGCAUCAUUUAUUUUUCUUCUGUGACCACAGUAUUCCCAGAGAAUAUAACACUUUCAAAUCCAUCCUCUAAUUGGCAUAACCAUUAGAAAACCCUUGACUAGGGAAGCUAGCAAAAUAUCACUUUUAAAGAAAAAAACUAAUUUAAGUUUUA